UACGUAGGGUGCGAGCGUUGUCCGGAAUUACUGGGCGUAAAGAGCUCGUAGGUGGUUUGUCGCGUUGUCCGUGAGAACUCACAACUCAAUUGUGGGCGUGCGGGCGAUACGGGCAGACUGGAGUACUGCAGGGGAGACUGGAAUUCCUGGUGUAGCGGUGGAAUGCGCAGAUAUCAGGAGGAACACCGGUGGCGAAGGCGGGUCUCUGGGCAGUAACUGACGCUGAGGAGCGAAAGCGUGGGGAGCGAACAGG
rnacentral:rRNA from 1 species